UGAGAGCGGAAAGCGGAUCUUAAGAUUAUCACGAUUUCAUCAGCAAUAAAAGCAGCACUCGCUUUUCAGCAGAGCGUUAUUACAGUUACAUCAAUCGAAUAGUUCCUCAUAGAAGUACAACAUGAAACAGAAAGAAGACCAAAUGAUUAACUACAAAGAUCCUGACACCGAUCCGGUUAAAAGCGGAGAUAGAUCAGGAUCAUCCGGCUCGUGGUGUACUAUUAUGUAGAUGUAGGAGAAAUAGUUGAAGUUUCAGUAACCUCUUUGUCAACGUCAAAUGAGCCAUGGUGGAAGAAAUGGUGUCUUCUUUUGUAAAAAGAUAAAGCCAAGUGUCGUAAAGUAAACUAGAAGAUGACUGUUGUAAUGUACUGAUCACACCCAAGGAUACCUUACUAUUCAUUUACCCACAAAGUGUAGCUGAUGAACUUUAGAAGAUUGAUCUCUUUUUGCACACAAAAAACAAGAAAACAAGCCUGAAGAGGACGACUUAAGGACAGCUCUAGAAACCACGACAAACACUAACUAUGAACCAGCGAAUAGAAGAUAUCAGAACCAUGAUUUAGAUCUCUAAAUUUGAUUGAAAUUGAACUUGUUUGUGUGGUUUUUUUCUUUUUUCUUUCUAUUUUUUUUUAAAGUUAAUUUUAAUUUAAUUUAAUUUUUUUUAUACCUUAGAAUUAUUAUGUUUUUAGAAUGUGUUUUAAUUUUGAAAAUAAUGCAAAGCAAAAAAGAAGUUCAUAAGCAAGCUAAUAAGUGAGUAGUGCUGGUGAAAGUAGUAUAGACUUGUAAUCUAACCUUUGUAUGUACGUAAAUAAAUGGCUUUGUCACAAUC